rnacentral:rRNA from 1 species
AGAGAUGUGUGAUGACGCAUAUCAAUAAGCGGAGGAAAAGAAACUAACAAGGAUUCCCUUAGUAACGGCGAGUGAAGCGGGAAGAGCUCAAAUUUGAAAUCUUCAAGGUUCUACCUUGACGAAUUGUAGUUUAUAGAAGUGUUUUCUGUUAGUAGAGUGGCAAAAGUUCUUUGGAAUAGGACAUCAUAGAGGGUGAGAAUCCCGUAUUUGGUCAUUCUUUCUAGCUACGUUGUGAUACACUUUCAAAGAGUCGGAUUGUUUGGGAAUGCAGUCCAAAAUGGGUGGUAAAUUUCAUCUAAAGCUAAAUAUUGGCGAGAGACCGAUAGCGAACAAGUACCGUGAGGGAAAGAUGAAAAGAACUUUGAAAAGAGAGUUAAACAGUACGUGAAAUUGUCAAAAGGGAAGCGUUUGACACCAGUGUUGUUUUUCCGAAAAUCAAUUACGAAUGUUUUGUUUUUAAGAAGUUAUGACUUCAUCGGCUUGCUUCUUUCUUUACUGAAACUUUCUUAAUGCACUUUUCGGUUAACAAGUCAACAUCAAUUUCUUUUGUUGUAAAAGGGUACUGAGGAAGGUGGCUUUCUUUUCGGAGAAAGUGUUUAUAGCCUUGUACCUCUGCAAUCGGAGAGAUUGAGGUCUGCAGCGUAGAUCCUUCGGGGUUAGAUACAUUUGUGCUAAGUUAUAGCUUUUCAUAGACAACUUGUUGACUAUGUUAAGUCUUGUAGCUUACUCGCUUAUGCUAUUUUACCUACGCUUAGGAUGUUGACGAUCAGCUGAGCGCG